rnacentral:rRNA from 1 species
CAGUCGCCACGGUAAUACGAAGGGGGCUAGCGUUGCUCGGAAUGACUGGGCGUAAAGGGCGCGUAGGCGGCGAUCAAAGUCAGGCGUGAAAUUCCUGGGCUCAACCUGGGGGCUGCGCUUGAUACUUGGUUGCUUGAGUGGGGAAGAGGGUCGUGGAAUUCCCAGUGUAGAGGUGAAAUUCGUAGAUAUUGGGAAGAACACCGGUGGCGAAGGCGGCGACCUGGUCCUUGACUGACGCUGAGGCGCGAAAGCGUGGGGAGCAAACAGGAUUAGAUACCCCGGUAGUCCCUGUCUCUUAUAC